rnacentral:ncRNA from 1 species
CGACGAAAUGCUUCGGGGAGUUGAAAAUAAGCAUAGAUCCGGAGAUUCCCAAAUAGGUCAACCUUUUAAACUGCCUGCUGAAUCCAUGAGCAGGCAAGAGACAACCUGGCGAACUGAAACAUCUUAGUAGCCAGAGGAAAAGAAAGCAAUAGCGAUUCCCGUAGUAGCGGCGAGCGAAAUGGGAGCAGCCUAAACCGUGAAAACGGGGUUGUGGGAGAGCAAUACAAGCGUUGUGCUGCUAGGCGAAGCGGUUGAGUGCCGCACCCUAGAUGGCUAAAGUCCAGUAGCCGAAAGCAUCAC